rnacentral:rRNA from 1 species
AUUGAACGCUGGCGGCAGGCCUAACACAUGCAAGUCGAGCGAGCGGCGGACGGGUGAGUAAUGUAUGGGAAUCUGCCUGAUGGCGGGGGAUAACUACUGGAAACGGUAGCUAAUACCGCAUACCAUCAGAUGAACCCAUAUGGGAUUAGCUAGUAGGUAUGGUAAUGGCUCACCUAGGCGACGCUCCCUAGCUGGUCUGAGAGGAUGACCGUCCACACUGGGACUGAGACACGGUCCAGACUCGUACGGGAGGCAGCAGUGGGGAAUAUUGCACAAUGGGCGCAAGCCUGAUGCAGACAUGCCGCGUGUUUGAAGAAGGCCUUCGGGUUGUAAAGUACUUUCAGCCGGGAGGCGUUACCGGCAGAAGAAGCACCGGCUAACUCCGUGCCAGCAGCCGCGGUAAUUC